rnacentral:lncRNA from 1 species
GGGUGUCAGCUUGCAGAAAGGCAUCCGCCUUAUAGGACCUACUGGAGGUGCAGGAGUGACUGGGCCUGCCUUCACCUUAGCGAGUACCCAGAGUGAUGGCGAUGGUGAUGGCGGCAGUUACUCGGACAGCCCCAGUUAAGCUGCGCUCUGAGAGAUGCUGAAGCCUCCUCCAUCUCAGAUUUUCGAGAUACAUCCAGAGAGUGCCCAGAAGAAACUCCCUCCUGGAAAAACUAAAAAAGCAGUAUUUAUAACACUGGAA